UGCCAGCAGCCGCGGUAAUACGGAGGGUCCGAGCGUUGUCCGGAAUUAUUGGGUUUAAAGGGUACGUAGGCUGAUUAAUCAGUCAGAGCUGAAAUCCUAUGGCUUAACCAUAGAACUGGCUUUGAUACUGUUAAUCUUGAGUAUGGUAGAGAUAGGCGGAAUUUAUGAUGUAGCGGUGAAAUGCAUAGAUAUCAUAAAGAACACCGAUAGCGAAGGCAGCUUGUUGGACCAUAACUGACGCUAAUGUACGAAAGUGCGGGUAUCGAACAGGAUUAGAUA
rnacentral:rRNA from 1 species